rnacentral:rRNA from 1 species
AGUGAACGCUGGCGGCAGGCCUAACACAUGCAAGUCGAGCGGCAGCGCGGGGGCAACCCUGGCGGCGAGCGGCGGACGGGUGAGGAAUUCGUCGGAAUCUGCCUUUUUGUGGGGGAUAACGUAGGGAAACUUACGCUAAUACCGCAUACGUCCUACGGGAGAAAGUGGGGGACCGCAAGGCCUCACGCAGAAAGAUGAGCCGACGACCGAUUAGCUAGUUGGUGGGGUAAAGGCCCACCAAGGCGACGAUCGGUAGCUGGUCUGAGAGGAUGAUCAGCCACACUGGGACUGAGACACGGCCCAGACUCCUGCGGGGGGCAGCAGUGGGGAAUAUUGCACGAUGGGGGCAAGCCUGAUCCAGCCAUGCCGCGUGUGUGAAGAAGGACUUCGGGUUGUAAAGCACUUUUGUCCGGAAAGAAGUACAUGGAGCUAAUACCUUCGGGGGAUGACGGUACCGGAAGAAUAAGCACCGGCUAACUUCGUG